rnacentral:rRNA from 1 species
UGGGCCUGCGUCGGAUUAGCUAGUUGGUGAGGUAAUGGCUCACCAAGGCGACGAUCCGUAGCUGGUUUGAGAGAAUGAUCAGCCACACUGGGACUGAGACACGGCCCAG